rnacentral:rRNA from 1 species
CCCUUAGAGUUUGAUCCUGGCUCAGGACGAACGCUGGCGGCGCGCCUAACACAUGCAAGUCGAACGAGAGAUGAGGAGCUUGCUCUUCAAAUCGAGUGGCGAACGGGUGAGUAACGCGUGAGGAACCUGCCGCAAAGAGGGGGACAACAGUUGGAAACGACUGCUAAUACCGCAUAAGCCCACGGCUCGGCAUCGAGCAGAGGGAAAAGGAGUGAUCCGCUUUGAGAUGGCCUCGCGUCCGAUUAGCUAGUUGGUGAGGUAACGGCCCACCAAGGCGACGAUCGGUAGCCGGACUGAGAGGUUGAACGGCCACAUUGGGACUGAGACACGGCCCAGACUCCUACGGGAGGCAGCAGUGGGGAAUAUUGCACAAUGGGGGAAACCCUGAUGCAGCGACGCCGCGUGGAGGAAGAAGGUCUUCGGAUUGUAAACUCC